rnacentral:rRNA from 1 species
GACGAACGCUGGCGGCGUGCCUAAUACAUGCAAGUAGAACGCUGAAGGAGGAGCUUGCUCUUCUGGAUGAGUUGCGAACGGGUGAGUAACGCGUAGGUAACCUGCCUGGUAGCGGGGGAUAACUAUUGGAAACGAUAGCUAAUACCGCAUAAGAGUAGAUAUCGCAUGAUAGCUGCUUGAAAGGUGCAAUUGCACCACUACCAGAUGGACCUGCGUUGUAUUAGCUAGUUGGUGAGGUAACGGCUCACCAAGGCAACGAUACAUAGCCGACCUGAGAGGGUGAUCGGCCACACUGGGACUGAGACACGGCCCAGACUCCUACGGGAGGCAGCAGUAGGGAAUCUUCGGCAAUGGACGGAAGUCUGACCGAGCAACGCCGCGUGAGUGAAGAAGGUUUUCGGAUCGUAAAGCUCUGUUGUAAGAGAAGAACGAGUGUGAGAGUGGAAAGUUCACGCUGUGACG